UACGAAGGGUGCAAGCGUUACUCGGAAUUACUGGGCGUAAAGCGUGCGUAGGUGGUUUGCUAAGUCUGAUGUGAAAGCCCUGGGCUCAACCUGGGAAUUGCAUUGGAUACUGGCAGGCUAGAGUGCGGUAGAGGAUGGCGGAAUUCCCGGUGUAGCAGUGAAAUGCGUAGAGAUCGGGAGGAACAUCUGUGGCGAAGGCGGCCAUCUGGACCAGCACUGACACUGAGGCACGAAAGCGUGGGGAGCAAACAGG
rnacentral:rRNA from 1 species